ACCCUAUCAAACUUUACUUUAGUUUAACUGGGGCAGUUAAUUAAUAAAAAUUUUAAUAAAUAUUAAGUACUAAAUAGANNNCCCAACANUAGUUGAUUACANUGAACAAGUUACUGUAGGGAUAACAGCGUAAUAUAUAUCUAAAGUUCUUAUUUUGAUAUAAGUUUGCGACCUCGAUGUUGAAUUNAUAUUACUUUCAAGCGCAAGAGCCUGAAAAGUGGGUCUGUUCGACCCCUAAAUAUAUACAUGAUUUGAGUUCAAAUCGGUGUAAACCAGAUUGGUUUCUAUCUAUUNUUAUUUGUGUCUUAGUACGAAAGGACCUGAAACAAUAUUAUAUAAUNAUUUAUAUGGCAGAAAAAUGCUUUAGAUUUAGGAUCUAAUUAUAAUAGAUUAUUAUACUCUAUUUAACUUGCCUAAUCUCUGUUAUUAGAAUCCUUAUCGCAGUAGCUUUUUAUACCCUCCUAGAGCGAAAAAUUCUAAGCUACAUCCAAA
rnacentral:rRNA from 1 species